CUCGGAUCAGGUAGGGAUACCCGCUGAACUUAAGCAUAUCAUAA
rnacentral:rRNA from 1 species